AUUGAACGCUGGCGGCAGGCCUAACACAUGCAAGUCGAACGAGUGGCGGACGGGUGAGUCAUGUCUGGGAAACUGCCUGAUGGAGGGGGAUAACUACUGGAAACGGUAGCUAAUACCGCAUACCAUCAGAUGUGCCCAGAUUGGAUUAGCUAUUUGGUAGGGUAACGGCUCACCAAGGCGACGAUCCCUAGCUGGUCUGAGAGGAUGACCCGCCACACGGGAACUGAGACCCGGUCAAGACUCCUACGGGAGGCAGCAGGGGGGAAUAUUGCGCAAUGGGCGCAAGCCUGAUGCAGCCAUGCCGCGUGUAUGAAGAAGGCCUUCGGGUUGUAAAGUACUUUCAGCGGGGAGGCGUUACCCGCAGAAGAAGCACCGGCUAACUCCGUGCCAGCAGCCGCGGUAAUUC
rnacentral:rRNA from 1 species